UCCAAACAUCACGUACGCUUCGCGACUCUGUCCUCUCCAAACUCUCACAUUUCUGGAAACUUCACCCCCAAAUCCAGAGCUCACAACACCACACACAAACUUCAUCAUCUUCGACCCUAUCCAAGCCCGUCACCAAUGGCUUCUCUAAGCACAAACAACCUAUCUACCAUAAUAUCCACCGAAUCAAAGGAAAAACCCCAAAACCCUAUCAUCCAUAUGCAAAAUAUCUGUUCCAAUCAAACCUAAAGAACUUCAGAUCUACCUUUUUCUACAAAUCUACACCCCCACCAUUCUCACAAAAACAUUAGAUUCCCAUUUAUUCAAACCCUUAGACUUAAUCGGUACGCAGUGGAGAGGAAUCAACAAACCGUAAUCGACAUAUCUUGGAAAAAAAAACACAACAAACGACAGAAUCGAAAGCCAUCGUAGAAGAAAGAAUUGCUCACAUCAAUUACCAUGCAGAGUACAAUAACCCAAAGAUACCCUCCAAAUCGAAUAUUCAAUACUGGAAAGUGCUCUUACUUUCAUUUCUGGUUACAACAGGAACUAUAACAAUAUCCAUCCAACUUCUCUCACUAAUGAUAGGAGUCAUAAAUUCAGAAAGAAGAUCUGAAAAAUUUGGAAAUCAAUGAGAAGGUAUAAUUGCAGUUUAUAUAUAUAGCUAAAAAAAAGUGACAAAAUAACUCCUAACACACCUCAACCUUAUGGCUUUAGUGGUCUGCUGUGGAUGUAGCUGAGCUGCAACAAUGAACUGUCCAGACAUGCUGCAACACCUUGAAGUGAUCUCUUUUAGUUAGUCUGCUGUGGAUGUAGCUGAGCUGCUUUGGAUUCGGUUGCUAAGUGUUUGCUUAGAGUUACAUUAUGCAUGUAUAUAUAGUGGUGGAAGUAAGAUAGUAGAAGUCUACGACUGAAUGUGGUAGACAUUAAAAAAAAUAAAAAAAAAAUAAAAUAAUAACAUAAAAGUACAAUGAA